rnacentral:rRNA from 1 species
UACGUAGGGUGCAAGCGUUGUCCGGAAUUAUUGGGCGUAAAGAGCUCGUAGGCGGCUUGUCACGUCGGGUGUGAAAGCCCGGGGCUUAACCCCGGGUCUGCAUUCGAUACGGGCUAGCUAGAGUGUGGUAGGGGAGAUCGGAAUUCCUGGUGUAGCGGUGAAAUGCGCAGAUAUCAGGAGGAACACCGGUGGCGAAGGCGGAUCUCUGGGCCAUUACUGACGCUGAUGAGCGAAAUCGUGGGGAGCAAACAGG